CUACGGGGCGCACCAGUGAGGAAUAUUGUACAAUGGGGGGAACCCUGAUGCAGCAACGCCGCGUGGAGGAUGACGCAUUUCGGUGUGUAAACUCCUUUUAUAUGUCAAGAAAAUGGCGGUAGCAUAUGAAUAAGCACCGGCUAACUCCGUGCCAGCAGCCGCGGUAAUACGGAGGGUGCAAGCGUUACUCGGAAUCACUGGGCGUAAAGGACGCGUAGGCGGGUUGGAAAGUCAGGUGUGAAAUCCUACAGCUUAACUGUAGAACUGCACUUGAAACUUCUAAUCUAGAGUAUGGGAGGGGGAGAUGGAAUUAGUGGUGUAGGGGUAAAAUCCGUAGAUAUCACUAGGAAUACCUAAAGCGAAGGCGAUCUCCUGGAACAUUACUGACGCUAAGGCGUGAAAGCGUGGGGAGCAAACAGGAUUAGAUACCCCAGUAGUC
rnacentral:rRNA from 1 species